rnacentral:tRNA from 1 species
UCCCUGGUGGUCUAGCAGCUAAGAGUCUGCACUCCCACUGCAGAGGGCCCAGGUUCGAUCCCUGGUCAAAGAA